CCCACGGCUUACGCCGUGGGCUAAAAUCUGUCGUCCCUGCGGGACU
rfam:Acidobacteria bacterium RIFCSPLOWO2_12_FTLL_54_10 rifcsplowo2_12_scaffold_20638, whole genome shotgun sequence.